rnacentral:rRNA from 1 species
UACAGAGACUGCAAGCGUUAUUCGGAUUCACUGGGCGUAAAGGGUGCGCAGGCGGCCAUGUGUGUGAGGCGUGAAAGCCCGGGGCUUAACCCCGGAAUUGCACCUCAAACUACAUGGCUAGAGCAUUGGAGAGGGUAGCAGAAUUCAUGGUGUAGCAGUGAAAUGCGUAGAUAUCGGGAAGAACACCCGUGGCGAAGGCGGUUCUCUGGGACGGUACUGACGCUGAGACGCGAAAGCGUGGGGAGCGAACAGG